GACGAACGCUGGCGGCGUGCUUAACACAUGCAAGUCGAACGGAAAGGCCUGCUUUCCCUUGUGGAUUGCGGGUGCUCGAGUGGCGAACGGGUGAGUAACACGUGAGUGAUCUGCCCCCAACUUGGGUAUAAGCCUGGGAAACUGGGUCUAAUUCCCGAUAGGACUGCAGGGUGGUGCCUGUGGUGGAAAACGAUUUUCUAGUGGUUGGGGAUGAGCUCGCGGCCUAUCAGCUUGUUGGUGGGGUAAUGGCCUACCAAGGCGGCGACGGGUAGCCGGCCUGAGAGGGUGGACGGCCGCAUUGGGACUGGGAUACGGCCCAGACUCCUACGGGAGGCAGCAGUGGGGAAUAUUGCACAAUGGGCGGAAGCCUGAUGCAGCGACGCCGCGUGGGGGAUGACGGCCUUCGGGUUGUAAACUCCUUUCGACCGCGAGGAAGCCACCUGGUUGGAAGGGUGGUGACGGUAGUGGUAGAAGAAGCACCGGCUAACUACGUG
rnacentral:rRNA from 1 species